rnacentral:misc_RNA from 1 species
ACCUCCGAAAUGGAAAGACUUCUUCAGAUCAUGUCGUCCACUGAAGACGAAAAGUUUUCCCUAAAUCAGCAGAUAAAGGAAUUACAAGACUCUCUCCGAGACAGGGAAGCUAAGUUGUUGUUACUGAUAGUUUGAAAGCUACACGGUUAUAGGUACUUUAUCUUUACCUAGCUCUCUCCGAGACAGGGAAGCUAAAUUGUUGUUACUGAUAGUUUGAAAGCUACAGGGUUAUAGGUACUUUAUCUUUACCUAGCUCUCUCCGAGACAGGGAAGCUAAAUUAAACAGUAUGAAACGAAGUAUUCAGGCAGAAAAAGGUAAAGGAGUUCCAGUUACAGAAGACCAUCGAAGGAGAGAUACGGACCAGAAUAAAGAUGCUUCAAAAGGACAGCAGUCCGGACCUGCUAGUUUUUUUUCUAGUUUCUUUUAAGCAAUUUUUUGCACUGCUUACGUUUUGGUUUUGUUUGGUUUGAAGACAGUAAAUAUUAGCUCAUGAUUUCAUUAUCAAACAAUCAUCUUCCGUAGAGUUGGUGAAUUUCAAUUUAUUCAAAUUGCAAUAAUUAAAAAACAAAAACAAACAGUAACGUGCCUUCAGUUUCUUGUUUAAAAAUUAUUGUUUAUUUGUUGACUGUUGAAACACACGAAGUACAUUUAUGUCACUGCCUUCUUGCUUUCUCUUAUCAAGUUUACCCUCCUUGAAUGUACCCCCUUCCUUCCCUUUGUUUUCUUCAUAAUAACAUUUUUGACAGAAACCACAACGAAGCAGAGUUGGUGGAAAACGACUUCUGGUCAGUUUGGAAAGAUCACGUGAGGUCCACUUUAAGGUCACGUGACAAAACAGAGGAAUUUGCGAACAGUGUGAAAUGGACACGUUUUGGCAAGAAUGUGCUUUUUGCGAAUAAAUUUUUUCACUCGAGUAAAUUCGCUGGUUUGUGCUUCCUCGUGGUACUUGCAGCAAAUAGUCUACUUUUAUAACUAUUGUCGGCCUUUCUUUAUCAUGUAAUAAGUUGGGACAUGAAAUGUGACAUGUUCGAAUUUUUAUAUUUAGAAACCAAUCCAAGAAAUUUUCUGCAAAAAGUAUUUUGUGGACCUUUAUAUGCAGAGAUAAUGUUGAUUUUUUGUGGUGAACUUCAAGAACAUUUCUCAAAACGUAAAUAAGAAACCUUUUGCCGGCCUACUACUUUGUGUUAAAAUGAACUUUGAAGGAAGAACAUGUUAGUUUCUUUGGUGAAGCUUGUGAAAUAAUAAUAUCUUAAUGUAGCCUUUAGCAGGCUAGAACUGAGCGCGAAAAAACGUACAGAAAGUUAUGAAGUCUAACAACAAUGAACACGUUUUGACAAUGUAGUAAUAUGUGUAAAGAUCGGUAAUUGAUUGGGUAGAUUUGAUCAGUAACCAGUUUUAGUAUCUUAUUUAAACGAUCAGUAAUCAGUUGGAAUAGUUUGUUUAAAUUAUCAUUAACAAUUUAAAGUAAUUUGUUUAAAUGAUCGGUAGUAAGUUGGAGUAAUAUGUUUAGAUGAUCAGUAAUCAGUUAAAGUAAUUUGUUUAAAUGAUCGGUAGUAAGUUGGAGUAAUCUGUUUAAAUACAUACUAAUCAAUUUUGGGUUAUGGUUAGACCAUAAUUCAGUUAGGUUAAUUUUUUAAUGUUUGACUAUUUGAGGUAUUUUUUAAAUUAUCAGUAAUCAGUUUUGGUAUCUUGUUUAAAUAGUCGAUAAUCAGUGGGGAUCUCUUGUUUAAAUAGUCAGUAUUCAGUGGAGGUACCUUGUUUAAAUGGUCAAUAAUCAAUGGAUUGGCUUGUUUAAAUGGUCAAUAAUCAAUGGAUUAGCUUGUUUAAAUGGUUAAUAAUCAAUGGAUUAGCUUGUUUAAAUGGUCAGUAAUCAAUGGGAGUAUCGUGUAUAAGUGAUAUAUAAUAUAUUUAAAUUCUUUCUGGUAAUAAUCCUUAAGCCUAGCACGUGUAAGCUGAUUUCAGGGUUUACAAAUUUCUUUAUCGCAAUUGUUAUCAGUUUCUCAAAAUUAAUGAUUGAUACUUUUAGAUUUCAUAACAACUAUGCCAUUAAAUUCCAAGUAUGUUUAUUUGAAAGUUGUCUAAUUUUUUAAAAUUUUAUAAAACAAAUGAAACCUUUAAACAUAUGCUGUAAUAUCUGUAUAAGUUAUAAGCACGUGCGGAGUAAAGGAUACAUUUCGUGGUAAUGAUUUUUCAAAUUUAAUACUUUUAGUGACAAAAGAAA